rnacentral:rRNA from 1 species
CCUACGGGGGGCAGCAGUGGGGAAUAUUGGACAAUGGGCGGAAGCCUGAUCCAGCAAUGCCGCGUGUGUGAAGAAGGCCUGCGGGUUGUAAAGCACUUUAAGCAGGAAAGAAGGUCGGGUUGAUAAUACCAAUCUGAAUUGACGUUACCUGCAGAAUAAGCACCGGCUAACUCCGUGCCAGCAGCCGCGGUAAUACGGAGGGUGCGAGCGUUAAUCGGAAUUACUGGGCGUAAAGCGCACGUAGGCGGCGCGUUAAGUCUUCUGUGAAAGCCCUGGGCUU